UGGGGAAUAUUGGACAAUGGAGGAAACUCUGAUCCAGCAAUUCUGUGUGUGUGAAGAAGGUUUUAGGACUGUAAAACACUUUUAGUAGGGAAGAAAAAAAUGACGGUACCUACAGAAGAAGCAACGGCUAAAUACGUGCCAGCAGCCGCGGUAAUACGUAUGUUGCGAGCGUUAUCCGGAAUUAUUGGGCUUAAAGGGCAUCUAGGCUGUAAGACAAGUUGAAGGUGAAAACCUGUGGCUCAACCAUAGGCUUGCCUACAAAACUGUUGAACUAGAGUACUGGAAAGGUGGGUGGAACUACACGAGUAGAGGUGAAAUUCGUAGAUAUGUGUAGGAAUGCCGAUGAUGAAGAUAACUCACUGGACAGAAACUGACGCUGAAGUGCGAAAGCUAGGGGAGCAAACAGG
rnacentral:rRNA from 1 species